rnacentral:rRNA from 1 species
UGGGGAAUAUUGGACAAUGGGCGGAAGCCUGAUCCAGCAACGCCGCGUGAGGGAUGACGGCCUUCGGGUUGUAAACCUCUUUCAGUAGGGACGAAGCGUGAGUGACGGUACCUACAGAAGAAGCACCGGCCAACUACGUGCCAGCAGCCGCGGUAAUACGUAGGGUGCGAGCGUUGUCCGGAAUUAUUGGGCGUAAAGGGCUCGUAGGCGGUUUGUCGCGUCGGGAGUGAAAACCCAGGGCUUAACCCUGGGCUGGCUUUCGAUACGGGCAGACUAGAGGUAUGCAGGGGAGAACGGAAUUCCUGGUGUAGCGGUGAAAUGCGCAGAUAUCAGGAGGAACACCGGUGGCGAAGGCGGUUCUCUGGGCAUUACCUGACGCUGAGGAGCGAAAGUGUGGGGAGCGAACAGGAUUAGAUACCCUGGUAGUCCACACCGUAAACGUUGGGCGCUAGGUGUGGGGUCCAUUCCACGGAUUCCGUGCCGCAGCUAACGCAUUAAGCGCCCCGCCUGGGGAGUACGGCCGCAAGGCUAA